UACGUAGGGUGCAAGCGUUAAUCGGAAUUACUGGGCGUAAAGCGUGCGCAGGCGGUUUUGUAAGUCAGAUGUGAAAUCCCCGGGCUUAACCUGGGAACUGCGUUUGAAACUACAAGGCUAGAGUGUGACAGAGGGGGGUGGAAUUCCACGUGUAGCAGUGAAAUGCGUAGAGAUGUGGAGGAACACCGAUGGCGAAGGCAGCCCCCUGGGUUAACACUGACGCUCAGGCGCGAAAGCGUGGGGAGCAAACAGG
rnacentral:rRNA from 1 species